UACAGAGGUGGCAAGCGUUGUUCGGAAUUACGGGGCGUAAAGGGCGCGUAGGCGGCCCUCUUAGUCGGACGUGAAAUCCCCAGGCUCAACUUGGGAACUGCGUCCGAUACUGGAGGGCUCGAGUGCGGGAGAGGGAUGUGGAAUUCCAGGUGUAGCGGUGAAAUGCGUAGAUAUCGGAAGGAACAUCAGUGGCGAAAGCGACUUCCUGGACCAAUACUGACGCUCAUGUGCGAAAGCGUGGGGAGCAAACAGG
rnacentral:rRNA from 1 species